CCCUUAGAUGUUCUGGGCCGCACGCGUGCUACACUGAGUGGAUCAGCGGGUCAGGUUGCGCGAAAGCGUUUCCUAAUCUUUAAAUCCGCUCGUGAUGGGGAUUGACGGUUGCAAUUUUCUGUCAUGAACGAGGAAUACCUAGUAAGCGCGAGUCAUCAGCUCGCGUUGAUUACGUCCCUGCCCUUUGUACACACCGCCCGUCGCUACUACCGAUUGAAUGGUUUAGUGAGGACUCCUGAUUGGCGCCGCCGCCCCGGCAACGGAGCAGCGGACUGCCGAAAAGUUGUUCAAACUUGAUCAUUUAGAGGAAGUAAAAGUCGUAACA
rnacentral:rRNA from 1 species